rnacentral:rRNA from 1 species
GUGCCAGCAGCCGCGGUAAUACGGAGGGUGCGAGCGUUAAUCGGAAUUACUGGGCGUAAAGCGCGCGUAGGUGGCUUGAUAAGCCGGUUGUGAAAGCCCCGGGCUCAACCUGGGAACGGCAUCCGGAACUGUCAGGCUAGAGUGCAGGAGAGGAAGGUAGAAUUCCCGGUGUAGCGUUGAAAUGCGUAGAGAUCGGGAGGAAUACCAGUGGCGAAGGCGGCCUUCUGGACUGACACUGACACUGAUUGCGAAAGUGUGUGUAGCAAACAGGAUUAGAUACCCUGGGUAGGCC